GCCUGGGUGGCUCAGUCGGUUGGGCGUCUGACUUCGGCUCAGGUCAUGAUCUCACGGUUCGUGGGUUCGAGCCCCACGUCAGGAU
rnacentral:tRNA from 1 species